GAUGAACGCUGGCGGCGUGCUUAACACAUGCAAGUCGAACGAUGAAGCCCAGCUUGCUGGGUGGAUUAGUGGCGAACGGGUGAGUAACACGUGAGUAACCUGCCCUUAACUCUGGGAUAAGCCUGGGAAACUGGGUCUAAUACCGGAUAGGAGCGUCCACCGCAUGGUGGGUGUUGGAAAGAUUUAUCGGUUUUGGAUGGACUCGCGGCCUAUCAGCUUGUUGGUGAGGUAAUGGCUCACCAAGGCGACGACGGGUAGCCGGCCUGAGAGGGUGACCGGCCACACUGGGACUGAGACACGGCCCAGACUCCUACGGGAGGCAGCAGUGGGGAAUAUUGCACAAUGGGCGCAAGCCUGAUGCAGCGACGCCGCGUGAGGGAUGACGGCCUUCGGGUUGUAAACCUCUUUCAGUAGGGAAGAAGCGAAAGGGACGGGACCGGCAGAAGAAGCACCGGCUAACUACGU
rnacentral:rRNA from 1 species